rnacentral:misc_RNA from 1 species
UGUGGGAGCGAGCUUGCUCGCGAUAGCGGUGGGUCAGUCAAUAUUUGAAUUGAAUGAUGAAUUGCAAUCGCGAGCAAGCUCGCUCCCACA